rnacentral:misc_RNA from 1 species
GAAAUGCGAUAAGUAGUGUGAAUUGCAGAAUUCAGUGAAUCAUCGAAUCUUUGAACGCACAUUGCGCCCUUCGGUAUUCCGUUGGGCAUGCCUGUUCGAGCGUCAUUUAAACCUUCAAGCUUUGCUUGGUGUUGGGCGUUUGUUCCGCCUCCGCGCGUGGACUCGCCUCAAAUUCAUUGGCAGCCGAUCAGUUGGCUUUCGUGCGCAGCACAUUGCGUAGCGGCUCCAGCUUGCCUCCUACCAUUAAGCUACUGUAUAUAUCUUGACCUCGGAUCAGGUAGGGAUACCCGCUGAACUUAAGC